GACGGGGCCCCGCACAAGCAGCGGAGCGUGUGGUUUAAUCGAUGCUACACGAAGACCUUACCAGGGUUUGACAUGCAAGUGGUAGGAAGCCGAAAGGUGACCGACCUUCGGGAGCUUGCACAGGUGCUGCAUGGCCGUCGUCAGCUCGUGUCGUGAGAUGUUCGGUUAAGUCCGCUAACGAGCGCAACCCUCGCUGUGUGUUAUAUGUGUCACACGGGACUGCCGGUCUUAAGCCGGAGGAAGGUGGGGAUGAUGUCAAGCCAGCAUGGCCUUUAUAUCCUGGGCUACACACACGCUACAAUGGCCAACACAAUAGGUUGCUAAGCCGCGAGGUGGCGCCAAUCCAUAAAGUUGGUCUCAGUUCAGAUUGUAGGCUGCAACCCGCCUGCAUGAAGAUGGAGUUGCUAGUAACCGCAGGUCAGCUAUACUGCGGUGAAUACGUUCCCGGGGCUU
rnacentral:rRNA from 1 species